UAGGGAAUCUUCCACAAUGGNGAAGCCUGAUGGAGCAACGCCGCGUGUGUGAUGAAGGGUUUCGGCUCGUAAAACACUGUUGUAAGAGAAGAAUGACAUUGAGAGUAACUGUUCAAUGUGUGACGGUAUCUUACCAGAAAGGAACGGCUAAAUACGUGCCACCAG
rnacentral:rRNA from 1 species